CUGGAGGGUUGACUGUGAGCCAGGCAUUGUUGGCUUUUGCUCUGUGUGCUGGCUUCUGAACAAAGGUGCUGCUGAAAGGGUUGGCGGUGCUUUCACUCAGUCUGCAUCGGAUAUAACACAGCUCUUCUUAGACUGUUGCAUACGCAUGUUGAGAACAUAAUUCCUGAGAGAAGCAGCUGAUGUGCGUGUUUUCUUCCCAAGAUUGUAAUAGGAGGAUGCAAAGAGACGGUGCCAUCAUGUGAAUGCAAAAUUGCUAAAUGAGAAACAGGACACCUGGGAAGGCUGAGCUGAAAGUGCUUGUGCACAGGAUGACAGACUGAUUUGCUGUUGAAGACAACACUCAGGAAACCCCCCUCCUCCAAAAGACUUUCUGAGUGAGAGAAGAGGAACAGGAGGAAGCACACAAAAGAGCAAUGGGAAUUGAGGGCCAUGGUUACUUGAGAUAAAUGGCACAUCCCUGGGAGUCUAGCCUGGUAGCUGUUUGCUUUUGCUUUGUCUCUCUCUGCAGCUGCUGUUACUUUUUUGAAAGCUGCUGCUGGGUACUGCCGUGGUGGCACUGGAGAUUUGAGGAGCGACGUGGCUGCAGAGUGUGAGGGGGGUGGGCAGCCCGCCUCACCAUGAUUCAAUUGUGGAAAGUAGUGCGGCAUGUGCGACAGCUGGAGCUCCACAGGUUGAUCCUGCUGCUCAUUGCCUUCAGCCUGAUCUCCAUGUGCAUCCUGGCUUACUACGUCACGAACAGUCCCAAAAUCAAGGAGCCACCACCCCUGCCCUUCAGUGACUGCAGCAACCAGCACCGCAUCUCAAUCCCACCGCAAGCCAGCUGGAGGCUUACAAAAUCUGUGGACACCUCACGCACGGAUCCUGUGGUGCUAGUCUUUGUAGAAAGCAUCUACUCCCAGCUGGGGCAGGAAAUAGUGGCUAUCCUGGAAUCUAGCCGGUUUAAAUACAGGACAGAGAUCGCCCCUGGUAAAGGGGAUAUGCCAACAUUGACAGACAAAGAUAGGGGACGCUAUGCUCUUAUUAUCUAUGAGAAUAUCCUCAAAUAUGUGAAUCUAGACGCUUGGAACCGAGAGCUGCUGGACAAAUACUGUGUAGAGUACGGAGUGGGGAUUAUAGGCUUUUUCAAAGCCAACGAGAACAGCCUACUCAGUGCACAGCUCAAGGGUUUCCCCCUGUUCCUACAUUCCAACUUGGGGCUGCGGGACUAUCACAUCAACCCCAGUGCUCCUCUGCUCUAUGUUACACGGGCUAAUGAGGUGGAGCAGGGUCCCCUGCCUGGUGAUGACUGGACUGUAUUCCAGUCAAACCACAGCACCUACGAACCUGUGCUGUUGGCCAGCACGAAGUCCUCAGAGUCCAUUCCUCACCUGGCCACCCACAAAGCAUUGCAUGCCACGGUGGUGCAGGAUCUGGGUCUGCAUGACGGGAUCCAGCGGGUUCUCUUUGGCAAUAACCUCAACUUCUGGCUGCACAAACUGAUUUUCGUGGAUGCCAUUGCCUACCUGACUGGCAAACGCCUGUGUCUCACGCUUGAUCGCUAUAUCCUGGUCGACAUAGAUGAUAUAUUUGUGGGAAAAGAGGGCACUCGCAUGAAAGUGUCUGACGUAGAGGCUUUACUGAGCACCCAGAAUAAGCUGAGAACUUUAGUCCCAAAUUUCACCUUCAACCUGGGCUUCUCAGGGAAAUUCUACCACACAGGUACAGAUGAGGAAGAUGAAGGUGACGACAUGCUACUCAAGCAUAGGAAGGAGUUCUGGUGGUUCCCUCAUAUGUGGAGUCACAUGCAGCCUCAUCUUUUCCACAAUGUCACUGUGCUGGCUGAGCAGAUGAAGCUCAACAAACAGUUUGCUGUGGAGCAUGGGAUCCCCACAGACUUAGGCUAUGCUGUAGCCCCCCAUCAUUCUGGGGUUUAUCCUGUCCACACACAACUCUAUGAGGCAUGGAAAUCCGUUUGGAGCAUCCAAGUAACAAGCACAGAGGAAUACCCACAUCUGCGACCUGCCCGGUACCGACGUGGAUUCAUCCAUAAUGGAAUCAUGGUUCUGCCUCGACAGACCUGUGGCCUUUUUACUCACACUAUCUUCUACAAUGAAUAUCCUGGUGGCUCAAAGGAAUUGGACAAGAGCAUUCGUGGUGGUGAACUCUUCCUGACAGUGCUCCUGAACCCAAUCAGCAUCUUCAUGACCCACCUGUCUAACUAUGGGAAUGACCGCCUGGGACUGUACACUUUUGAGAGCCUGGUCAAGUUUGUGCAGUGCUGGACCAACCUUCGCCUGCAGACACUGCCCCCAGUCCAGCUUGCAAAGAAGUACUUUGAAAUCUUUCCUCAGGAGAAGAAUCCCUUGUGGCAGAAUCCCUGUGAUGAUAAGAGGCACAAGGAUAUCUGGUCCAAAGAGAAAACAUGUGAUCGACUCCCCAAGUUCCUCAUUGUGGGACCUCAGAAAACUGGCACAACAGCUGUGCAUUUCUUCUUGACCAUGCAUCCAGCUGUCACCAGUAACUUCCCAAGUCCUUCCACUUUUGAGGAGAUCCAGUUUUUUAAUGGGCCCAACUAUCAUAAAGGAAUUGAUUGGUACAUGGAAUUCUUUCCAAUCCCCUCCAAUGCCAGCACAGACUUCAUGUUUGAGAAGAGUGCCAAUUAUUUUGACACAGAGGUAGUACCAAAACGUGGUGCAGCCCUGCUUCCUCGAGCCAAAAUCAUUAGUGUUCUGAUCAACCCUGCAGACCGAGCCUACUCAUGGUAUCAGCACCAGCGAGCUCACAAUGACCCCGUGGCACUCAAUUACAGCUUUUACCAAGUGAUCUCUGCAAAAUCCCAGGCCCCUCAGGAGCUGCGCAACCUGCAAAGCCGAUGCCUGCUCCCUGGCUGGUAUUCCACUCACCUGGAGCGUUGGCUAACGUACUUCCCUUCUGGGCAGAUUCUCAUUGUGGAUGGUCAGGAGCUGAGACACAACCCUGCCUCCGUAAUGGACAACAUCCAGAAGUUCUUGGGAGUUACACCACUCUUUAACUACACUCAGGCCCUGAGAUUUGAUGAAGCAAAAGGAUUUUGGUGCCAGCUGUUAGAUGGAGGAAAGACAAAAUGCCUGGGAAAGAGUAAAGGAAGAAAAUACCCUGACAUGGAUUCCUCGUCACGGCUGUUCCUAAGAGACUUCUACCGGGAGCACAACAUUGAAUUAUCCAAGCUGAUGAACAGACUUGGACAGCCCCUUCCAACCUGGCUCCGAGAGGAACUGCAGAACUCCAGCUGGAGUUGAGAGGGACUUCCCUGUUCCCAGUGCCACUGGGAUGUGUGGUGCUCCAACAUGUGCUAUGAUGCCAUCUCUCGUCAAGCCAAAACAAGUGGACAAAUGAGCAGUAGCAGAGAAUGUGCAUGUGGAGCCUUUCCCCACCACUGGGAAGGGCUGCUGCUUCUGACACUGUCCUAGGGCAUGGAGUGCAAAUCUCAUUCUGGAGUAUUAAUGGUGUGUCACACUUUGACUCUUACUUGCAGGAAGGAUUUGUAAUGCCUGUCCUACUUUGAGCAGGAGCAAGAGCACGGUUAACACUUUAUGUUGAAAUUACUCUUCUCAGUAUAUGAAACAGGCACUAGUUGGAGGGUUAAUGUCUUUCACCUCUGAGUCCAGAGAAAAAGAUGUGAGAGGCAAGAUACAGAGCCCGCUGAUCAGAAAAGAGGAAUCUGCUCCAGUGAACCUCAGCUUUGAUCCAGUAAUCUAUUAUUUGGCAACAGCAAGGUACAAGAACACCUCUUUCCUCCCCCUGUAGAGUACAGUGGCCAUGACCAUUAUUUACAGUGCCACAGUGUGUGUGCUGGGGACUGCACCAUCUUGGAGACACAGGCCAUCUUAUGCCUGUUAACAUGUCCUUAUCUGCAGCCUUGCUGGUGCAAUAUGGUGUCCAACAGCUCUGGUCCAUGGGCAGUGGGAGAUAAGGCAAAGCUGCAGAUACUGACACCAAAUUAAUUUCCUGUCUUAGGGAAAAGGUUGCCAUACAUGACAGCAUGGCAAAUAUUUCUUUCAAUGUCUUCAGCCAUUUCAGAAGAUACCCAAGGAAUGAUAAGUCAGUCCCCUUGAGCACUUUGGAGGCCUGUGCUAGCAGAGCACAGUAGCUGGGGGAGGCAAAGCUCAGGUAGUGUUGAAUAAGGCUGAAAGUAGACAGUUCAGUUUCCCCUGUCUGAUUAACUUAAAAAUGUUGCUUUUUUUUCAGUCUAUCCAGCAGCUGCAGGGCCUCUACCAUGUAUGCUAAUACUUGUUUAAUCCCCCUGCAGUCCAGCAUCCUCCUGCAAAGAGAAAUAAAAAACCCAACCCACAGUAAGUACCACUAAGAUAUACAGGGAGGGCUUAGCAUUUUUAAGCAAGAAUGUGGUUUCCUGUAUCCAAAAGGGGCUGUUUGUUUAGAUUACUAUUUCUGCACACAGUCAAUACUUUAAGUACACUACGGUGCUGUGCCUCCUCUUGCAGUUGCUGGAUAAUUUUUCUCAGAGGAAAUCCUCCAUCGUGGUUGUACAGUUUCUGUUGCUGAGCCAUGGGCUUCUGAAGUUGUGUGGGCUGUUGUCCCUCCCUCCUGGGCACAGAUGGACCUGUCUUGCUGCAGUUCCAGAGAGGGAUAGGAUCCAUGUGAACACAGGUUAUGGAAAUGUCUACAACUGUCACAAGCUCCUUUUCGCCUACCAGAGGAGAAAAGUUGCUUCAACCAAGCUUUUCCAUUGAGCCUUAGGAAACUGAGUCAUCAGAAAGGUAUCAGAAGGGCCCGUGACUUUAAUAGAAGCCAGAUCAGGUCACUUCAGAAAUGGAAGUGUGUAUAGCAGGUGAGAACUGUGAAAACAAAUGUUAAGAAACAAAUAAAAAAAUAAGUAAAAAGCAAGCCAGCAGAGUAUACAUGCCAACCUAAACAAAGAAAGGUCAGCAACAUGAAGCCAAAACUUUUACUCACUCACAACCUCAGAAAUUCAAUCAAUUAGAAAGAUGCUUACUACUUGGCUUUCUAAUUUGUACAGGGAAUACAGGGAACUGGUAAGAACAUGUGCAGAAGGACAGAAGAGAUUUAAAGGCUCUGGGAGAAUUUCUCUGUAAGUAGCAUCAUAGUUCAAGUCUACAUAAAAUCUGAUCCCUCUGAUGACAGUACUGCAAAAGCAUGGUCUUGGCAGAAGUGUACAGAUAGUGGAAGUCAGAAAGAAACACAAGAGUGUGUUAAGAGUAUAUUAAUGUAAUGAGCGCCUUGAUCAAAUAUACCACUACUACUGUUUUUCAGCAGUUUACAUAUACAGUUGAGAAGAGACUCCUUUCAUUCCUUGCUGAUAAUUUUGCUGUAGCAAUAAUAAUAUGGCAAGAAAAGUAAUGACAAACCAACCUGAACAGGACUGUGGUCGCUCAUCCCUUUGCUGACUCCUGACUUCCACUGCCCAUCAGGGAGUAAGCCACCGUGUGAGCGCGAUCUAACAAGCACAAGCUAAGAAGAAAAGCUCCAUUCACUGAGUAGGAUAUGGAGUUGUUGCUGUACCCCCCUCCAGUUAUUAGGACUUCAGCUAUUGUUUAUUUCUGUCCCCUUCUUACUUAAUGCUUUCUGGAAUUUAAAAAAAAAAAAAAAAAAAAAAGAAGAAGAAAAGAAAAAACCCUCCACCCAUAAACAUUAAGAAUUGUUAAUUUUACUCUCAUCUUUGAAAAAGACCUUACAAUUUUGUGGCAAAACCAACAAUGUAUCCCUGACACUUUAAUCUCCAGUGCUGUAGUGGAAUAUGUAGAAAUAAUUUAUUGAUCUAUUCAAUCUGUUUUUAGCUUUGAAGAGCAUUUUCCCUCUAAGAUUCAAAUCCUCCUCAUUGCCAUCCAUAUCACUUUAUUGACAUCUCUAGUCUCUCCAAAAUGCUUGCAAACCAUAUGUCUGUAAUUCUGACACUGCAUUAGCAGGCUGAAAUCCAGCUCAAGUUUACUUUGCAGUAACAACAAAGGAUCAUAAAUCAGACUGUUCUCAGAACCCUGCCAAGCCAAGUAUUGGAAAAGGUGCACAUCAGGAUUUAUAGCAAUGUGUUGACAGUAAGGUUUGCACAACUGCUGCCCAUACAGCCCCAGCAUUCCUAACAAUUAUGUACUCCCAGUUGACUUAAACAAGACAAACUGAAGUAUGAAAUAAGAGAAAGUUAUGGAAGACCAUCCAACUCUGUGCAAAUUACUAUAUAUAAUAGAUUUUAAUGCAUUGCUAGCAUUUCUCCCCCCAAUUCCUUAAUAGUUCAUCAUGUCCUUAGUGGCAACAGAGUAAUUGUGCAGUGCAGACUGUACAGCAUUAAGUAGUUACUCUAUAACUGCAAACAGGCAACAUCAACAAGAAAACAAUUGCUUACAAGCACAGACACUGUUGUUAUACCAACAAUUAACAAUAUACAGCAGUGGAGUUACCUUGUGACAGCUCACAAAGCUUGUAUUUGGCAGUUAGCCCUGAGAAAAAGCUUUAACUCAUGGUAGGCUCAAACUGAAACCCUAGCACAGAAUAUCCCCAGACUGCACUUGCAGUUCUCACAGAGUAAUGAUGCUCUUUGACAGGAGCUAUUGACCACCCUGCCCCCAAGCAAAAUGUGAGCAGGAAGUAGAAUGAAAAUCAAAAUCCACUUUUAAAUUGUGCUGAGGAGUGAGAGGAGAGGUAGUAAACAAAAAUGGUAAUAUUAAGAAAGACUCCCUGUUGUUAUUUUACCAUAAUCACAUCAUAUGAAGCUCUAAUUAGGGCACAGAGAAAAACCAAAAAAUUCUAAAUAAACUGUUAAUUGAGAGCAGUUCAUUCUAUCACUAGGGAUGGAUUAAAAGCAAAGCCAUACAGCAGUUGUAGUCAUAAAAAAUAUGUAUAUAUUUUAAUAGUUAAGUUCUGCUACCCUAACUUGCAUUUUUAAUUUUUCAGUUCAGAUUUAAAAAAAAAAAAGUCAUCAAUACUGUUGUAGUCAUCGACACCUUUAUGCUUUUGUGAUCUCCCAAGUGCACCCUGGAAACAUCAUUUUAACACUGUGCCAUUUUUUUGGAUUCCUGGACAAGUAAAACAAAACCAAGAAACAACCAAAGUCUUAUAGAAAACUACUUCUCUACUACUUAGAAAAACACUUAUGUCACAUUUCAGCUAACUUAUUUAUACGAGGAUGUAUUAAAUUUCACAGACACAGACCUUGCUUACUCCAUUUCUGCUCACGCUGCUCUUGCAAAACUCUUCAAUGCCCUCUAGCACUGUGUAGCAGUGGCCAAGCCAGUUCUAAAUGUGCUAAGCUUGAUUAAAAACCAAACUCCCACCACCAAAAAAAUGCAAACAGUUUAGGUUCACUGUGCCCCUACAAGGGUGUUUCUCUCAGGGUUUCCUCAGAGAAGGAAAAUACAUAUCCCAAAUAAAUACUAAUGAGGGUAAACAAACAUUAGAAAGAAACACACUUUUCAGCUAACUCUAGCCCUAGCUGUUAGGCUCGUUAUUCAUCAGAUGACAAUUCUCAUGGUUCACUGGCUGGAAAGAUGCUGAAGUCCAAAGGCAGAUAAUGUCCUUCUGUCUCAUAGUCCUUGGAAAGGACUUCCAAAAGGAAAACCUUCACAGGCAAGAAAGAUGGUUGUAGGUGAAUAUGUCCUACAUAUUUCCCUAUGGAGGAGAGAAGCAAAGCAGGCCCUCACAGAGGCUGAUGUGCCCGAUUUUUACAGAAAAAGGCUGCAUCUGCAUCAAGAGAUGUGUUCCAAGCAAUGACUAAAGCUUUUCUUUUAUCCACUGCAUAAGAGCUAAAUCAAACCAUUCCUCCUGAUGACCCAAAUAGCCAAGAAUCCAGAUGUUAUUUUGGCACAUUUAUCAACUUCACUAAAGAUAUGACCACCUCUACAGACUGAGAAACUAUGCAGGAAUCAAAAGAUUAAGUUUAAAUACACUGCUGUCCUAGAAACAGCUUUAUUUAUAAGACCACAUAUACAAGUGGAAAAGAUACUAAAUGGCCAUUAACUUCUUCAGGGAAGAAACAUAUUUCCUGUGGUCACAUGAGGAAAUAAAUGUAGCAAGUCAGAGAAAGUCACUGUGAAUACAGAACACAUGAAGAAGUACAAUCUAUAGAUCUGAGUACUUUCCCCAUGUCUGGAACAGUGACAAAACUGAGACAGCUGCACAGGAUUUUAAUUUUUCUAACUUACGGUAAACUAAUGCUUCUUUGAUCACCAUCAUCUCUUAUAAAAGAAAGAUUACCUCAAGCACCUUCCAGGCAUGUAGCAGGAAAAAAACAUACCCUUUCUCACUCUUCCUGUCCUUGUUCAGAUAUAUUUCCAUGGCUCAGGAACAACAAGAGAUUAAUGGAUCCAGAGAUCCUAGAUAUAGAAAUGUUCUGAUCGGUCUGAAUAAACCAUAAGGCAGCCCCUCCACACAGCUCCCUGAGUGCUCUAUUUUUCAGAGGUAAGACUGGAAACUUGCAAAACUACUGACCUGUGCCUCAGACCACUGAGCUGCUUGUUCAGUUGACAUCAGUCUGAGGUGAGAUUCCCUGGUUCUUCCUCUGAUUGGGCCCCACAGCUGCUAAAGACAACUCAUACAGGGUCUGUUCUGGUGUUGAAAACAUUCAGCUUUCUUGCCCAUUUCCCUCUGCUUCUUUCCUUCUAGAAGACGCUCUCUCCUCUCCCCUUAAUUGUUCUCCAUAAACAACGGAAAGGAAAAGAUUAAACUUCAUUAGAAAACACUCAUUUUUUCCUACAAACUCCUUUCCCAGCCCUGAACAUAUGAGCACUAAAAGGCACAAAGUGCUCUAGGAAGGCCAGAGGUGAGGCCUGGACUUCUCAAUAACAGGCAGCUCACAACCAAUCCAGAGUUAACUUAAAAACCACAUAACUUCACACAUUCUUACGCACACUGGCAUUUAUAAUUAGCACGUAACCAGAGAGCAGAACACAUGGUGGAGGUAUACAAAGGGCUGCAAGGAGAACUUUAAAUAGUUCCUGUUGCACAGUCAGAACUAAGAGAAACUUAGUGAUGCUCCUUGGCCUGUGCAGCACACAGAAGUCAGACCGAAGGAGUAUGCUCAUGUACUUUGUCCUAUGCUUUUGAGUUAAUUUAUUUCUUAUGAACGUCAUUGAAAAUAUUAAACAAACAUACACUUUUAGCUUGCAAAAACUGAAACCUCCCUAUUGUCAUUGGCUAAACCCAAGUAAGUAGCAAAAUAUAUUACUAUUGAGACAUUAAGAUUCUUAACAUACAUCAAACCUCUAAUUAUGGCAUUUAAAAAAAAAAGAAGAAAAUUUUGUGCUUGUAUGCUUCCAGAUGGCAUUAGCCUUUUAAAUUUCCUUGGUAUAAAAAUAAAAGCUUCCUAAAAUUAA